rnacentral:lncRNA from 1 species
GUUGACUUCAAUUGUUGAACUACUUUUCUCUACAAAUCAUCCAUUUUACACAUAAAAAUGAAUAGUGCAUAAAAUUUUGUUUAAUGGCAAAAGUGCUGAAAACUCUUGGAUAUAUAGCCUUGGGGAGUUUAGGCGUCAGGUGGAUGGUGACUAUGAUGAGAGAAAAGCCCUUGGUCAGAUUCAUCAUGCUUGUCCAUCCACCUCCCAUUUUCCUCUCAUUAGAAUUAAAAUUACCUUGAUAAGCUCUUGUGGUAAAGUGCUUCAGUAUAGGGCAGUCUUAAGCUUGUUUCUUCAUUCUACUAAACAAAACCAGAUGUAUUUUCCAUUCUCUUUUGUUGAAAUCAGCCAUGAAUUUUUGAUUACUUGGUUCAAUCCUCUCGUUUCAAUAAAAUAAAAAUAACCUAAAAAUUGGACAAUGAACAAUAAAACGCAAAUUUCAUGAAGUAUUAACCCUCUAGCUUCUUCAUGAUGCAUAUAGAGAUAACUCGUGUCAAAAACACUGGUACUAAAACCUGGGUUUCAAUAUUUUCUUUUCAUUACAUAUUCAAUCCUAAUACAAAUAUGCAGUCAAUAAAUAACAAAAUAUAUAAGAGAAAUAUCACUACUAAAAGUAAACAAUAGCACCAAAGAAGGCAAUACCAAUUUAUGUCAUUGGAGUACCGAAGGAAUACUAAUAGAAUAUGUUGGAUUAGAUAAUUUUGUAACAAUGAUCGGUCUAUUCUUAUCUAAUUCAACCCCUUCGUCCUUUAUUGACUGCUCCACCUUAAAAUAUUUGACAUGAGCUUUUGCCCAUUUUUUAACCUCAAUACCUUGUAGCCUAGACUAGGAAUGAGCAACAUUUACUGAUCUUUCCUUUGGAGACCCUGAAAUUGGAUAAAAUAGAACGACCUUUAUA